rnacentral:rRNA from 1 species
AUCUGGGAGGACCAUCUCCUAAGGCUAAAUACUCUCUAGUGACCGAUAGUGAACCAGUACCGUGAGGGAAAGGUGAAAAGUACCCCGGAAGGGGAGUGAAAGAGAACUUGAAACCGUGUGCUUACAAGUAGUCAGAGCCCGUUAAUGGGUGAUGGCGUGCCUUUUGUAGAAUGAACCGGCGAGUUACGAUCUGAUGCAAGGUUAAGCAGAAAAUGUGGAGCCGUAGCGAAAGCGAGUCUGAAUAGGGCGAAUGAGUAUUUGGUCGUAGACCCGAAACCAGGUGAUCUACCCUUGGUCAGGUUGAAGUUCAGGUAACACUGAAUGGAGGACCGAACCGACUUACGUUGAAAAGUGAGCGGAUGAACUGAGGGUAGCGGAGAAAUUCCAAUCGAACUUGGAGAUAGCUGGUUCUCUCCGAAAUAGCUUUAGGGCUAGCCUCAAGUGAUGAUUAUUGGAGGUAGAGCACUGUUUGGACGAGGGGCCCCUCUCGGGUUACCGAAUUCAGACAAACUCCGAAUGCCAAAUAAUUUAACUUGGGAGUCAGAAUGUGGGUGAUAAGGUCCAUAUUCGAAAGGGAAACAGCCCAGACCACCAGCUAAGGUCCCAAAAUAUAUGUUAAGUGGAAAAGGAUGUGGCGUUGCCCAGACAACUAGGAUGUUGGCUUAGAAGCAGCCAUCAUUUAAAGAGUGCGUAAUAGCUCACUAGUCGAGUGACACUGCGCCGAAAAUGUACCGGGGCUAAACAUAU